AGCUUUUCGAAUCCGUGCCGAGAUUUCGUCAGACACCAAUCUACUGGUGUUGUUCAGACUUCCAAGAUAAGUGAAGUU
rnacentral:pre_miRNA from 1 species